UACUUUCACUUAUCGGGCCAAGACCAAAGUCCCAAUCUCACACAAAGUCCCACAUUGGCCCAAUUUACCAAAUUGGGCCCACCUCACCAAAUGGGCCUAGAUCCAAUAUCCAUAAUAUUAAUUGGGCCCAAAAUACUCUAUUCAUACUUUCCAGACUUGGCCCAAACACCAACAACCCACAAAUGGCCCAACACAAAAGCCCAAAACGAAGUCCACAGGAGGAGUACGCUGGGCGUACUCUCCUUGGUACGCUGGGCGUACUGCAAAGAUCGCCAAAAGAAAACGGGACACUGGCCCGCUACGCGGGGCGUACUCGAAGGUUACGCGGGGUGUAACUGCGAGGUCCAUUAAGCCUUUCUAACCUCUUAAUGGCUUAAGCUCUUAAGCUCAAACUUCAGAUCCAAAGGUCAAAUAUGAUUAGAAUUCAUAAAGUCUCAGACUUUAUCACUUGGGACGUCCUUAAGCCCUUAAUCUAAGGUCUUAAUCCAUUAAGACUUAUAUAACUCACACAUGGAAUAACUACAGCCCUUGGGACCUCAUUUUUAUCACUCAUGACCUCUCCAAAGGUCUGAAAGGACAGAUAAUCUUGACCAAAUCGAGCUAUACAACAAGGAGAGGACUUUUGGGACAAGAAUGGAGACAAAGCUUCAAAAUACAUAGAUCUAUGCCAUAAGAAGGUCAAGCAAGAAACUUUAUACCUUAAACCAGCUCCAAAGGGUGGUAUUUCUUCAGAUCUACGAGCUCCACACGUUCUUCUUCUUCUUUGACAACUUCCCUUUUCUCCUUCAAGCCUUUCUUUUGCCAACAAGAGCUUCCCAAGGUCAAACACACUCAAAUAUGGAGGGAAUACGAGAUCUAGGGUUUCUCUGGGGUUGAAGAUAAGCUUAUGGAUGCUGAGGGGUGAACCAUCAUGUUCCUUAUAUAGUGCCUGACCUUAAAAAUAGGGUUUGGGGUUUCUGAGAGUACGCUGGGCGUACCUCCCUGGUAUGUUGGGCGUACUCACCCGGCUACCCGCAAACAUUCAUCCCAUUACGCUGGGCGUACGUCCAGCUUACGCUGGGCGUACCCAGCUACCUUUCAAAGCACAAAAGCAUGCAUGCAUGCAUGGGACCAUUUCCUUCUUAUUCCACAAAGAAAUAUAAACAAUGAUCAACUUCGAGGCACCGCAACUCCUCUAAUCUACUCCCACUCUCAAAUAACUUUACAUUCAUACGAGGGUGACGAGAAGCCCAAUACUUCUAACACAUACACCCGUCCGAAACCUUCUCGGAUGAAGCUCAUUUCUCGAAAGGGACCAGAAUUACCCUUCCUCUUAAAUCUCAGGGACUUAUAAUUGAACACUCGAAGAACGGGGUGUUACAAUUCUCCCCCACUUAAAUUAGGCUUCGUCCUCGAAGCCUGCAACAACUCUAAUUCAGAACUUCCCCUGCAAUGCACUAGCUGGCACUAACCAAACCAGGUCCCUCAAGGUACAACCAUCAAAACCCGAAACUCACUUCCUCCUUUCUUGCGGUGUUCUGACCACCGUCUCAAGUCGGUCACCGACUUCAUCCUCUGAUAGUGACACCCAACAAUCGGGUACUACCCAUGAUGCAAUACUGCUCCAGAUCACAAUAAUCACUCGACCCAUAAGAGCUAUAAAUAACCAUGAACCACCGGAUUCCCGAUCCGAAUCCAGCUAUAUCCACUCUGAGCUGACAGAAGGACACAUUCUUCGGUCACAGAGCAACUCCCACGAGUUCUCUUCUUGCAAUCACACGCACACGCUGAACCAGCCCUAGCACUCUCGGGUUGGGAAAAACCCGCCACAUUGACGACAUCUCUAACAUCCCUAGGAGGAAUCACCACUACAUACACAACUCCUUGAUCAGAAUCAAGAUGGGAGUCCCAGGCUCCAUCCCAGUAUCCCUCCUGAGACUCUUGGCUCUACCCCCGCGGAAUCCCUCCCGCGUCCUCAGCAGACAUCCCAUCAUGAUGUCAUUCCAUACCAUCAUCGCAAUCACGCUGCUCAAUGACCACCGUCGGACCACUCUGAUCAUAACUCUACACUGCCGCUUUCACUUCCGUGAAUUUACUCUUCUCUCAGAGCUACACUCCUCUCUCUCUCUCUCUCUCUCUCUCUCUCUCUCUCUCCUCACCAAGGAGAUCCACUUGGCUGCCUUGUCACUACGACAAGUGCCACGGUGCUCACCCUACGCUGCACCACCCCUUUAUGGCAUAACCGCUAUCCAUGCAACACCCAUGCUCUGAAUCUGCUAGCAAGGACUCUCGAGUCCAUGCACCCUCUCCACUAAUCGAGAUCAAUACCCGGGGCCAGACCUUCUAGUACUAACACAUCGCGACGUACUCAAUCCAUUUCCUCGAACCGGACUAACAACACCUGCAGAGUCUUCAGCAUGACUGGACCACCCUCCAAGGCCUUCAGCCUGACUGAUACGCCUUCCGGCCUUCAGUCUAUCCGGACCGCUCAACUAGCAUUCAUUAUUCCAGGCUAUCUCUCCAUGCAUACUGUUCUAGCCCUCUAAGGGUUCCGAACUCUAUCUCCAACAUACAUACUCAAUCCCGGCCUGAUCCCAGGCCCUCCACACUCAAAUGCNAGGCCUGUAUUCCGCCCCGCACGCCUGCUACUCACCCAUACCAGUCCGCUCUCGGCUGAAAGAAAUACCGCCGAAAUCCCGAGCAGCUAAACAACCUCUCAAGUCUAUCGAUCAUCCGGAGAAUUUCCAAUUCUCCCCCACUUAGGGCACUGCCUAUCAACCACUGGUCAUUAUCACCGACCUCCCAAAAUAACCUUGCACAAAACCCAACGCUUACACGCAGAUUGAUUCCCACUAGCACUAGAAACCUUCACAAAACGCAUUCCCUCACUGAUCAUCCUGCUCGAAAAGGACACAAUCUUCAAUUAUCCACUCCUCAAACUGCAGAUUCUACUCGACCUUCAAACCGAUGCCGCAUCUCCACUAAUAACCCUCACGAAAGAUAACCAACGAUAGCACAAAACACCAAACUAUAACCAUCCCAAACCUUCAGGGAACAACGGAUACCAAAACGAAAGCCCUCCAACGAGACUAGCAAAUAAACGAUACUCUACAAUAAUCAUAAAUCCACAAGGCAACAAGAACGAAACAUACCCGCAGCUGCAUCCGGCACUGCUCUAACCUCCUCCGCUGCCAGCUGAAAAGCACGACCCUAAGCCCUUGCGGCUCCGCCCCAUUCUGACCUCCACCCGUGAUCCUCAACAUGGCCGGUGCUGGAGCCUGUACUGGUCCUGCAGCAAACUGUGGACAGUUGACCCUCAAGUGUCCAAUCUGAUGACAAUGAUAACAUAAUCUCAAAUCCCGCACCGGCACUGACUGCCGGCAAUUUCCUCGCAUAGUGCCCCUCCUUUCCGCACUUGCGGCAUGCACCACCGGACCGACAAACUCCGGCGUGACCCCUCCCACACUUUCCACAAACGUGGCUGCCCUGAUCUCCUAUCCUGGAAUCAACAGUCUUAGACCGUUUCGUCGCCGGCUGCGACUGAACCAGAGCUUGCCUCAGCUCACGCAACUGCAACUCAAUCUCCAACUCACGUCGCCUGGCGGCCUCCUGCAACUCCAACAAGGUCUCACACCUCUGCGCGAACACCAACUGUAUGAUAUCUCUCUUUAGCAUACUCAGAUAUCGGGACAUCUGAGCCUGCUCCUAAGCGAACUCAGGGCAAAACAUCGCCCUCUCAGCAAACAUCCUGAUGAUUUCCGUCACCGACUCUGUUUCCUGCUUCAGCUCAAGGAACUCCUGAGCCAACCUCUCCCUCUGAACCUGCGGAACAUAACGAGUGCUGAACAUCUCUCUGAACUGAUCCCAUGAAAUUGCAGCCCUCUGCGCAUCCGAGUAUGACCCCGUGGUCAAUCUCCACCAAUCCUUUGCCCCGAGCCUUAACAGGUUCAGAGCACACCUCACCCUCCGAUCAGCAGGGCAUGAACACGUGAAGAAGCAACCCUCCACGUCUGAUAACCAUCUCAUAGCAACGAUCGGAUCCUGAACUCCAUCAAGGUGGGAGGCUUAGUAUUAUCGAAGUCCCGAUACUGAAAACCCCUACUAGCCCCUCCUCCUGCCGCUGCUACAGCCGUUGUAGCCGCCGCGGUAGCCGUCUCCAUGAAAACCGCAUAGUGCUCAUCAAAAUACUCCACCAUUGCGGUCUUGAUCGACCCAAAAAAGUUCCGGCAGCUCAGCCCAGAACAAGGCAGCAACCUCAUCAUGCAGGACCUCACGAAUCCUCGCAUCCAACUCGCGCGUACUCAUCUGACCGAUAACCUCGGGCGGUACUGACCCGUCCGUAACUCCUUCUCCUGCACCCGAUCCUGACCCGGAUCCACUCCCAUCAUGCCUCGAAAUCACCAUACUGAAAUAACCACAAAACCUCAGGCACUUCCCACUAUCCCGGGAACCAACUCUCAACCCAACCCUAGAGGUCAUGGUUUCCCUGAUACGCGUAUGGGUCCUUUGCUUUCAGUAGUACGGGCCCAUAUUUCCUUCCACACCUUCCCAUAUUUGUAUGAAGUACUACCACAACACCCUAGCGACAAAUAUACAUAGCAAGUGCUCGAUCCUCACUUCUAGAGGAACACUGGAAAUCUCAAUAGAGGAAAACCCUAGGCUAGCAGGCAUCACAUAACAGGCAACAUCAUCAUGGAAUCCUGAAGAUCCCUAGCCUACAACUAGCAUGCUGUUCUAUCAAGUUCAAUAAGACUAAUAUCAUGUAUGGUAUCUUGGGGUUACUUACUGGCUCCGGCUGAUCGUACCUCCGCGUCCUCCUUUUAAUUUGAAAAUCAUUUUAAUUUCUCUUAUUAAAACCCUCCUCGAUUUGAGAAUGGAGCCACACGAGUGUUCCUCCAAUUCACUCAAACCAAGGCUCUGAUACCAACUUGUAACGACCAAAAACUUCAACAUAAUUUAAACUUUUCAAAACAAUUCAUUUUAAUAACGUUUUUACAAAAAGGUUUUCAAUACAUUAUUUAUCAGAGUAUUUCCCAGGUCCAUUUCAUAAAACACCAACGCGAGGAACGGUACGAUCACGCCUUUGCCUUGCCACAGACUCCUGAGAACCUGAAAACAUAAAACCACAACUGUAAGCCCGAAAGCUUAGUGAGAUACCCCCAAAAUACCAACCACAUAUACGCCCUUCCAGGCCACGACCUUCCGGUCCAAAACAUAUUGCCUUCCGGCCCAUAACAUAUUGCCUUCCGGCCCAUAACAUAAAAAGCAUACAUAACAUAACAGAACAUAGAACAGCCAUGCAUACGGGUCAAACCCUAGUCCAAACAACCCUGCGUACAUAACAUUCAAUCAUAUAACAGUUCACAGUCAACAAGUCGAUCAAACAGAUCACAUAACAUAUCAUCACCCUAACCAGGUUACCGACCUAACCGAUCACGAACAUAACAUCACCCUACGUCUCAGCCAAAAUACUACUUACGCACAUACGCCUUUCCAGGCCAUGACCUUCCGGUCCACAUAAUAUAUAAUGCCUUCCGGCCCAUAUCAUAAUGCCUUCCGGCCCAUAUCAUAAUGCCUUCCGGCCCAUAUCAAGCAAUACCAUAACAGACAACUAUCCGGAUUUCCAUCCGAUAAAGGGUCGGCCUUGGUGCCGUAGACCCUGUCGAUAUAGUGAGGAUAACUCACCUCGCGAUUGCCGACACUCUGAGCUGUAGAAGCAGACUCUCGAAUCACCAACUCACCGCAUAUCCCGAACUAACCACCAUCGCAAAAAUAAACAUAAGGUCAAUCAUACUUUCACUUAUUGGGCCAAGACCAAAGUCCCAAUCCCACACAAAGUCCCACAUUGGCCCAAUUUACCAAAUUGGGCCCACCUCACCAAAUGGGCCUAGAUCCAAUAUCCAUAAUAUUAAUUGGGCCCAAAAUACUCUAUUCAUACUUUCCAGACUUGGCCCAAACACCAACAACCCACAAAUGGCCCAACACAAAAGCC
rnacentral:lncRNA from 1 species